CACGUAGUUAGCCGGUCCUUAUUCCCCACCUACCGUCAACCCCACGAGAACGUGGAGCCUGCGUUGGUGGUAAAAGAGGUUUACAACCCGAAGGCCGUCAUCCCCACGCGGCGUCGCUGCAUCAGGCUUUCGCCCAUUGUGCAAUAUUCCCCACUGCCUGCCUCCCGCACGGAGUCUGGGCCGUGUCUCAGUCCCAGUGUGGCCGGUCGCCCUCUCAGGCCGGCUACCCGUAAUCGCCUUGGUAGGCCGUUACCCCGACCAACAAGCUGAUAGGCCGCGAGCCCAUCCCUGACCGAUAAAACCUUUCCACCCUCCACCAUGAGGUGGUGGGUCGUAUCCGGUAUUAGACGGCGUUUCCACCGCUUAUCCCAGAGUCAGGGGCAGGUUGCUCACGUGUUACUCACCCGUUCGCCGCUCGUGUACCCCGAAGGGCCUUACCGCUCGACUUGCAUGUGUUAAGCACGCCGCCAGCGUCGUCCGUGUAGCCACGGAGUCAACUC
rnacentral:rRNA from 1 species